UCCAUGUUUUAGCUUAUCCACUACCUGCAUUUACCUGGUAUUACCAACAAGAUGGCAGUGAAAGACUGGUUAUAGAUUUCAGAAGUCAACAAGCAGAUGAUGGUCUAUCAUCAACAUUAACUAUACAAUAUAUUACGGAAGAUGAUGGUAGAAAAUAUAUAGUUUAUGUUAAUAAUAGUCUCGGUACAAGAUCUGUUGUUUUCAAUUUAGUUGUACUGUCCAAUGAUGAACAUACAGACCAACUUGGUAAUAAAUAUGAAGCUUCUACAGAACGAGCUGUUGGCAUAGCUAUAGGCAUGGGUAUUAGCCUCUUGAUUUUUGUUAUUAUCGCAGUAUUGUUGUGGUUCAUAUUAAAGAGAAGUGGAAGAAGGGUUUGCAUUAAAAGAGUAACAGUAAAUAAUGAAACUGGAAUUAAUUAUACAAACAGCCAACAUACAGGGUUAGAUAACAUUACCUUGUCUGAAACCCCACCUAUAUAUGAAAGAGUUGGUACUGAUGCUGUAAAUACUACAGAUCCUCCUGAUCCUGCUUAUAUCAACACAGAGACAGCAUCAUCACCGUAUGAAGUACUGGAUAACCAAACUGUAGAUCAACAACCCAACUCUUACCAACAACUCGAUACACCAUCCAGAUCAACAUAUGAGGUACUGGAUAAACAAACGAUUGAUCAACAACCCAACACUUACCAACAACUCAGCCCCUAUCAAAAUGUAACAUGAGAUUGAAAUGAUGUGUGUAG